UGGGGAAUAUUGCACAAUGGAGGGAACUCUGAUGCAGCGACGCCGCGUGAACGAAGAAGGCUUUCGAGUCGUAAAGUUCUUUUAUCUGGGAAGAUAAUGACGGUACCAUAAGAAAAAGCCCCGGCUCACUACGUGCCAGCAGCCGCGGUAAUACGUAGGGGGCUAGCGUUGUCCGGAAUCACUGGGCGUAAAGGGUUCGCAGGCGGAAAUGCAAGUCAGGUGUAAAAGGCAGUAGCUUAACUACUGUAAGCAUUUGAAACUGCAUAUCUUGAGAAGAGUAGAGGUAAGUGGAAUUUUUAGUGUAGCGGUGAAAUGCGUAGAUAUUAAAAAGAAUACCGGUGGCGAAGGCGACUUACUGGGCUCAUUCUGACGCUGAGGAACGAAAGCGUGGGUAGCAAACAGG
rnacentral:rRNA from 1 species